AGUAAUUGUUUGUAUACCACCAUCUAAACAAUACUAUUUAGUAUUUUUUGAAAAAAUAAACUCAUUAAUGUUAGGUCAAGGUGCAACUUAUGCUUAAGGAGAAUAGAUUAGUUAUAAUCUUUCUUAGGAUUAAACUGAAAUUGAAAACUUAAAUUUAAGAGGAUUUUAAAGUAAUUUAAAUUUAAUAAGAUUAGAUGACUAACAAACCUGAAAAUGCACAUAUCGCCCGUCGCUCGCGGGAA
rnacentral:rRNA from 1 species